rnacentral:rRNA from 1 species
AUACAGAGGGUGCGAGCGUUAAUCGGAAUUACUGGGCGUAAAGCGCGCGUAGGCGGCUUGGUCAGUCGGAUGUGAAAGCCCUGGGCUUAACCUGGGAAUUGCAUUCGAUACUGCCAGGCUGGAAUGUAGUAGAGGGUAGUGGAAUUCCGGGUGUAGCGGUGAAAUGCGUAGAUAUCCGGAGGAACAUCAGUGGCGAAGGCGACUACCUGGACUAACAUUGACGCUGAGGUACGAAAGCGUGGGUAGCAAACAGGAUUAGAUACCCUAGUAGUCC